GACGAACGCUGGCGGCGUGCCUAAUACAUGCAAGUCGAGCGAAUGGAUGGGAGCUUGCUCCCUGAAGUUAGCGGCGGACGGGUGAGUAACACGUGGGCAACCUGCCUGUAAGACUGGGAUAACUUCGGGAAACCGGAGCUAAUACCGGAUACAUUCUUUCUUCGCCUGAAGAAAGAUGGCAAGAUGGUUUCGGCUAUCACUUACAGGUGGGCCCGCGGCGCAUUAGCUAGUUGGUGAGGUAACGGCUCACCAAGGCAACGAUGCGUAGCCGACCUGAGAGGGUGAUCGGCCACACUGGGACUGAGACACGGCCCAGACUCCUACGGGAGGCAGCAGUAGGGAAUCUUCCGCAAUGGACGAAAGUCUGACGGAGCAACGCCGCGUGAGCGAAGAAGGCCUUCGGGUCGUAAAGCUCUGUUGUUAGGGAAGAACAAGUACCAGAGUAACUGCUGGUACCUUGACGGUACCUAACCAGAAAGCCACGGCUAACUACGUGCCAGCAGCCGCCGUAAGAC
rnacentral:rRNA from 1 species